rnacentral:rRNA from 1 species
GACGAACGCUGGCGGCGUGCUUAACACAUGCAAGUCGAACGAUGAAGCCCAGCUUGCUGGGUGGAAGAGUGGCGAACGGGUGAGUAACACGUGAGUAACCUGCCUAUCACUCUGGGAUAAGCGCUGGAGACGGCGUCUAAUACUGGAUACGACCUAUCACCGCAUGGUGUGUGGGUGGAAAGAUUUGUCGGUGGUAGAUGGACUCGCGGCCUAUCAGCUUGUUGGUGAGGUAAUGGCUCACCAAGGCGACGACGGGUAGCCGGCCUGAGAGGGGGACCGGCAACGAUGGGGCGGAGACACGGCCCAGACUCCUACGGGAGGCAGCAGUGGGGAAUAUUGCACAAUGGGCGCAAGCCUGAUGCAGCAACGCCGCGUGAGGGACGACGGCCUUCGGGUUGUAAACCUCUUUUAGUAGGGAAGAAGCGUAAGUGACGGUACCUGCAGAAAAAGCACCGGCUAACUACGUGCCAGCCGUCGCAGUAA